rnacentral:tRNA from 1 species
GCCUGGGUGGCUCAGUUGGUUAAGCACCUGACCUCGACUCAGGUCAUGAUUUCGCAGUUCGUGAGUUUGAGCCUGGCCUCGGGCU